AUUGAACGCUGGCGGCAUGCUUUACACAUGCAAGUCGAACGGUAACAGGCCUUCGGGUGCUGACGAGUGGCGAACGGGUGAGUAAUGCAUCGGAACGUGCCCAGAGGUGGGGGAUAACGCAGCGAAAGCUGUGCUAAUACCGCAUGUGAUCUGAGGAUGAAAGCGGGGGACCAAGCAGCAAUGUUUGGCCUCGCGCCUCUGGAGCGGCCGAUGUCAGAUUAGGUAGUUGGUGGGGUAAAGGCCUACCAAGCCGACGAUCUGUAGCUGGUCUGAGAGGACGACCAGCCACACUGGGACUGAGACACGGCCCAGACUCCUACGGGAGGCAGCAGUGGGGAAUUUUGGACAAUGGGCGCAAGCCUGAUCCAGCAAUGCCGCGUGCAGGAAGAAGGCCUUCGGGUUGUAAACCGCUUUUGUACGGAAAGAAAAGGCUCUGGCUAAUACCUGGGGCUGAUGACGGUACCGUAAGAAUAAGCACCGGCUAACUACGUG
rnacentral:rRNA from 1 species